GGAGAGGUGCAGGAGUGGUUGAACUGGCACGCCUGGAGAGCGUGUGUGCGCUUCGCGUACCGUGGGUUCGAAUCCCACCCUCUCCG
rnacentral:tRNA from 1 species